rnacentral:ncRNA from 1 species
GAUGGCGAACCAUUCCCGGUCUGGACGAAGACAAAGGAAACUCUGGUGAAAGUUCGAUGCACUUCUGACGUGCAAAUCGAUCGUCGGAACCGGGUGUAGGGGUGAAAGAUCAAUCGAGUCGUCU